CCCUUAGAUGUUCUGGGCCGCACGCGCGCUACACUGAUGCAUUCAACGAGUCUAAAACCUGCUCUGAUAGGGGUGGGUAAUCUUUUGAAUGUGCAUCGUGAUUGGGAUAGAUGAUUGCAAUUUUUCAUCUUCAACGAGGAAUGCCUAGUAAACGCAAGUCAUCAGCUUGCAUUGAUUACGUCCCUGCCCUUUGUACACACCGCCCGUCGCUCCUACCGAUUGAAUGAUCCGAUGAAUAUCAUGGAUUGAGGAUUAUAGCAGGUUCGCCUGUCUCGAUCUUCGAGAAGUGAAGUAAAUCUUAUCAUUUAGAGGAAGGAGAAGUCGUAACA
rnacentral:rRNA from 1 species